rnacentral:lncRNA from 1 species
UGCGUCUACACAGUCUACGUCCAGUCCGGGUAAUCAUUAAUCACUAAUCAGAUGAUUAGGCCAGCAUGCAGUGCAGUGCAGUGCACCCAUCUCUAUAAAUCAAUCAAUAAAGAAUCAUAGCAUUCAAUUGUGGUUGUUGAAGUUUUUCAAGUUUGUUUUCAAAAGGUGGGGUUAGAAUAUUUUUCUCAAGGUUGGGGCAUUGGUUGGGGUUGGAAUUUCCUUAUGGCGACGUGUGGUAAAUUUUUUUCUAUGUUUUAUCAAUAUUUAUUAUUACAAGUGGUUGUUGAAGGUUGUUAAGAUUUUUGUUAUAAGGUAGGGUUAGAAUUUUUUGUUCAAAAGGUUGGGGCAUGGGUUGGGGUUAGAAUUUUUGUCAAAAGGUAGGGUUAAAAUUCGUCCACCAGAGGGGUUUGGUGUUGCAGUCAGUACAAAGUGUCAGUGUCAGUAGUUAACUGCACUGUAGAACUGGGACGCUGGCACGCUGCACGGUCAUUUUCAGUUCGGCUACGUGUUAGUCAUUUCAGCGGAGCGAACCUCAACGUUUGGCAUCGUGAAGAUAGAAAGUCCCACUCCCAGCGAGUCGUCUGACCAUGUGUCCUGAAAGUGAUGUCCGUAUGCUCAAAUGUCGUCUCGUACUAGAAAGUAGAAACUUGAAUGGAAUGUGCAUCAUAUCUUGCCGAGUUGGUGUCCCUAGAAGGGAUAUGAUUGCUACUGAGAGGUCUGAAAGCUUACAAUAUAUACUUGUCAACUCCAUGUGUUGUUGUGGAGUGCUCUCCAAUUUCUGAAGACUUUCACUGCAUGUUGAGAUGUUUUGUUGCAUGGAGAAGUACUUUUACUUUGAAUUGGUAUAUUAAUUCAAGCUGUUGAAUGAUGGUGUUUGCUGCUCGAUGUGAAGAUGGUGAAAGGAGUGCUUGACUCGGGAUAAGCUGCCAUUGUUUCUGGUGAUGGUGAAUCUACAUUGCUAACAGUCUUCUUUGGACAUGUCAUGGCUUGCUUGUCUUUCCUUCCGAGACGUUGUUGGAUAACGUUCACCUCAGUCAUUGUAAUUCCAUCUGAUCAUUCGAUUUGCCUUCCCAAAAUGUCGUCUCUUGCUGUAUGUUGCAUGUUUCGUCAAAAGAUGAGUUAUUUUCUCGCCAUUCGCCUAAGCUGAACCGAUAGUGAACCAAUUUAAAAUUUCCUUUUCUCCACAAUGUGGUCGCUGUCGUGCCAUUAAGACGGUCUUCGUGAGGGUCUACUAUGUUGCAACUUGCAAGACAAAUGUGUUGAAAGGAGGGAAUCUGUUAAGUAAUGCACUUGGCUUCUGCAGACAUCCACUAAAGUUGACAAUUGGAAAAGUAUCUAUCCAUCUGUGUGUAUAUAUAUAGUACUUACCUAAUAAUCUGAUCACUUGGGCCUCAACUGCAGUCCAUUUGGCUGAAAUGUUGUCCAUUGUUACCUAUAUGGAUUGAUUGUGAAAGAUUACUUUUCUUAUCUGCCGAAGAACUUGAGGACAUGGCAAAGGCUGAACUUCAUUACUGUCAUGCAGCAUGCAGGUGAUUUUGUUGCAGCCAGCUGGUGAAAGAGAGUUCAAGUCAAGUUGGUUUAACUGAAGCUUCUCAAUGUAGUCUACAUUGCUGGUGUCAUCCCAAAGAGGGGUAGUGUUACUUGAAGUGUAACAGCAACAAAGACAUCUUGAAAAGGAUUUGGUGACAAUGUAAAGGGUCAAUCUACUGCAUGCAUUUCGUGAAGCUGGUGUUAUCCAUAGGGGCGACUAGGAGUAUAGAUGCAAGAAAACCUCAAGAAAUGGAGUUGGUGGAAAUGGAAAGUGGUUUUGCUGUCUGGUUUCUGUUCAAGCUGUUAUGCUGUAUCUGCUGAAAUCCAAGUAGCUGAUGCUGAUGUUAUCCUACAGUUGGUUUUCCAGUGGAAUCUUGGUUGUCUACUAAAAUAUUUUGUCUUAUUUGUUUUCAUCUGUGUAGUGUAUAAUUCAAAAGAUUUGAUAUUUAGGUUUUCAAUGUGGUAUGUUGCAACUUAUGUUGGUGAAAGUUCUUUGUGCGGUUGUCUUCGUUGUCUUAAAGCAAUUUUUCAAUUAUUUACUUCAUAUCAGAAACCUAAACCUGAAAUUACUUGUUUAAUUUUGUAAACUUAAUUGCUGUUUCAUCAAAUCAUGUAUAAAACUCGUUAAAUAUACAGUUAUUCGUUCAAA